GACGAACGCUGGCGGCGUGCUUAACACAUGCAAGUCGAGCGAGGCCCCUCCUUCGGGAGGGUGUCCUAGCGGCGAACGGGUGAGUAACACGUGGGCAACCUGCCCUCAGCUCUGAGAUAACUCCGGGAAACCGGGGCUAAUACCGGAUACGACCUCCACGGGCAUCUGCGGAGGUGGAAAGUUUUUCGGCUGAGGAUGGGCCCGCGGCCUAUCAGCUAGUUGGUGGGGUAGUGGCCCACCAAGGCGACGACGGGUAGCCGGCCUGAGAGGGCGACCGGCCACACUGGGACUGAGACACGGCCCAGACUCCUACGGGAGGCAGCAGUGGGGAAUAUUGCGCAAUGGGCGAAAGCCUGACGCAGCGACGCCGCGUGAGGGACGAAGGCCUUCGGGUUGUAAACCUCUUUCAGCAGGGACGAAGCGAAAGUGACGGUACCUGCAGAAGAAGCACCGGCCAACUACGUG
rnacentral:rRNA from 1 species